GACGGAGGAUGCAAGUGUUAAUCGGAAUUACUGGGCGUAAAGCGCGCGUAGGCGGUUUUUUAAGUCGGAUGUGAAAGCCCCGGGCUCAACCUGGGAACUGCAUCCGAUACUGGAAGACUAGAAUGCGGGAGAGGGAGGUAGAAUUCCAUGUGUAGCAGUGAAAUGCGUAGAUAUAUGGAGGAAUACCAGUGGCGAAGGCGGCCUCCUGGCUCGACAUUGACGCUGAGGUGCGAAAGCGUGGGGAGCAAACGGG
rnacentral:rRNA from 1 species